rnacentral:lncRNA from 1 species
AAGGGACUUUUAUCGACUUCUUCUGGAGUUUAGAGACUCUGACAUGAAGCAGGCUUUCCUUACUGAGGAGUUAGCAACGCUGCUAAGGGUGCAGAGCCACACAUGCGCUCCGAGCUCUGCAUGGGAGACUGAAGCUGACAGAGCUGCAGCAGUUAGCAGGUUUCACCCUCAGAGACCACCAGGGGUUCAUGUUGAGGCAUUUUCAGUUUUUUUUUUUUUUUUGCCAUAGACACUGUCAGCACAAUCUGCAGUUACACUAACAAAAAUGCUGCAAAAAACAAAGAAUUAUGGAAAAAUUACACAUGGACUAACAUAGAGGAGGAUCUACACAAGUAUUUUACAUCAUGUUUUACAUCAUGCAUCAUUUACAUCAUGUUUUUUUGUAGUGGCAUAAAUAAAAAGUGACAUUUGUGAGACUAUACAGUGUUUUGUAAAUAAUUUUACAAAGAACACCUGGGCCAUUGCCUGCAUUUUGAUGUCAAUAGAGGUAAAUUACUAUGUUCUUUGUUAAAAAUUUGCAUAUGUUUUGAAGUUUACAAUUUUUAUUUGAAGUUUAAGUUUUAAAAACAGUUCAUCACACAUAUUUGUGGUUUUCACAGUAAAAACGUUACUUUUUUCCACUCGGAUUUUAUGUUUUGUGUGUGAAUUUGGGUCCAAUGUGUAAAUAUAGUAUGUCAAAAUGAUAAAAUAACUGUAAAUUGACACAGGUGAGGUUGUGCUGAAAAAAAUGAUACCAGGCAAGGCAAGGUAAAAAUUUUGUAAGAGGAAAUAUAAAGGUAAAAUCUAAAGUAGUCAAAAACGGCCAAUAGUGACUCACAGACUCCACAGACAAGUCCCUUUGGCGCCACUCAGUGGGCAAAACUACUUUGUCUACUGUAAUGUAUAUUUGGGUCAUCUUUGGCGCCCCCUAAAACGUAAACCGUGGGGUGCAGCGUCAUGAUUUUUACAACUUUGAAUGGCCAUGGAGUGUAGAUUGGCCUGAGCAAAUUUGGUGUCAGUGGGACGAAAGCCUUAGGAGGAGUUAGCGAAAUUCCAAUGUGUGCGAAUCGGCAAAAAAUGCAAAAUAGCCCUUUUACCGUACAUUAUACAGAUACGCGCUCUUUGACUUUUUCGUAGAUCUAAUUGAGAUACACAUGAUUGUCAAUUUUUGUGUCAUUUUGCCAAAGCGUACAGGCGUGACGGUCAACAAUGUGUAUUUUCACCUUAGGGGACAAGAAAAAAUGGACUUUUUUCUCCUGCCAUGGGGGGGCGCUCUUUUAGGGAGUAAAAAUUCCUUCACAAAUGUGUUGAUGGCUGGACAUUGCAUCAUCCUAGAAAACUUGGAGGCCAGUGAGGACAAAAAUAAAAAGUUAUAAGACUUUUAAAUAUGUGGAUUUUAGGGUUAUCUUUGGCGCCCCCUAGAGCCUAAACCGUGGGGUGCAGCGUCAUGAUUUGAAUAACUUUUAAUGGCCAUGGGGUGUAGAUUGGCCUGAGCAAAUGUGGUGCCGGUGGAACGAAAGCCUUAGGAGGAGUUAGCCACAUUCCAAUGUGUGCGAAUCGGCAAAAAAUGCAAAAUAACCCUUUAACCGUACAUUUGACAGAUACGCGCGCAUUGACUUUUUUGUAGAUCUUAUUGAGAUACAUAUGUGUGUCAAUUUUUGUGUCAAUAUGAUAAAGCGUACAGGCGUGACAGUCAAUAGUGUGAAUUUCCACCUUAGGGGACAAGAAAAAAUUGACUUUUUUCUCCUGCCAUGGGGGGGCGCUCUUUUGGGGAGUAAAAAUUCCUUCACAAAUGUGUUGAUGGCUGGACAUUGCAUCAUCCUAGAAAACUUGGAGGCCAGUGAGGGCAAAAAUAAAAAGUUAUAAGACUUUUAAAUAUGUGGAUCUUAGGGUUAUCUUUGGCGCCCCCUAGAACCUAAACCGUGGGGUGCAGCGUCAUGAUUUGAAUAACUUUUAAUGGCCAUGGGGUGUAGAUUGGCCUGAGCAAAUGUGGUGCCGGUGGAACGAAAGCCUUCGGAGGAGUUAGCGAAAUUCCAAUGUGUGCGGAUCGGCAAAAAAUGCGAAAUAACCCUUUAACCGUACAUUUGACAGAUACGCCCGCACUGACUUUUUUGUAGAUCUUAUUGAGAUACAUGUGUGUGUCAAUUUUUGUGUCAUUUUGACAAAGCGUACAGGCGUGACAGUGAAUAGUGUGAAUUUUCACCUUAGGGGGCGCUAUGGAGCCAUUUUGCAUUUUCUUGUUUGGGCGACUUCGGAAUAUCAAAUUUUUCACCAGGCCCGGUCGCCCUGCCAAAUUUCAUGAGUUUUCGCCAGUGGGAAGUGGGCCAUUUUCCAGUUCAAAGGGGAGGAAAAAUAAUAAUAAUAACAAAAGAAGGAAACUACAGGAACAAGAGGGCUCUCGCAGCUGCUUAGCAGCUACGCUCGGGCCCUAAAGAAAGAAAGAAAGAAAGAAACAAAGAAAAACCCCUUGGGGAAUAAUAGGGCUCUCGCAGCUGCUUAGCAGCUACGCUCGGGCCCUAACUAGGACCCCGUUGGGGCACUGGCGGGCCCGAGCCGUGUCGCCCCCCCCCCCCCCCCCCCCCAACGUGCUGCCUCCCCGUCCUAUUUGUGUCCUCUGGCCAUCGCCCUCUCUGGUAACGCCCAUCACUGCAAAGACCCUUUUCCUUCAUCGGCGUUUGCUGUUCUUCCUGCCAGUGCGUGUUGCUUUCACUUACACUUGCCACAGCCAGCCUCGUGAGUGCCUAGCCUAUUGGAUAUCACUGUCACCUACACAGGACAGUCAUUACCUUUCUAUUAAUACUUUGUGUUUUAAUUUCACAUUAAUUUCCAUAUUGUAUAAACGACUGGAAAAAACUUGAGCCCCUGCCCCUGUAUAAUCAUGUGCAUGUCUCUGUUCUAGCUCCAAGGUGAAUCUUCACUGCUCAUGUUCUCCUCAGAAGCACUCACCUCACUCCCCUCAGGUUACUGUACACAUGCACCAACUGCCUGCUUCAGGUUUGGAUGGAGCUUCAUGGUUGUCUUUUGGAGAAAUGACCAGUCAAGUUGUGUUUGAAAUUUGAUUUUUUUCAGGGGCAAAAGGAGCCUCUGCAUUCUUGUCAAAUAUGUAAAUAGCAUGUUUUUGCAGGUGCUAAAAACCAGACUCUGAGUGUGUGUGUGUGUGUGUGUGUGUGUGUGUGUGUGUGUGUGUGUGUGCGUGUGUGUGUGUGUGUCUGUGUGUGCGUUCAAGUCACAUGACAUAUUUAACCGGAUGUAGCUGCAAGACGGAGCCUCGUUGACUCUCCGUUUCAACUUAUCUCAAAAGUGAGGACCUCAACCUAUAUACCAGUUUUUAAAUUGUGUUGAUAGGCCAAAUAAAACCAGAGUUAUGAUAAAUUAUGUCCGCGAUACUUUUUUUCUGCUUAUUUUGAUCACGUUCGGCGCUCGAUCGCGCUGUAUGAGACAGGAAAACAUAGCAUGCAGACAUUAGCGACAGGUCUUACAGGCGGAAAAGGCUUGCCAAAAGAAAAAAAAAACACACCACAACAUCUCUCCUAUUGGUGGAAAACUUCACCACAACAACCAAUCCAAAAUUAUAUGGUGACUGAUUGACAAGGGGCGGGCGCUUACGUUCUUCCUGCAACAUGAGAAGGGAGGGAGGGACUCUCAGCAGGGAUGCAGUCUGGGACACGUAGUUGCAAACCUAGCGACUUUGUUGUUAGAUUCAAUGACUUUUCAGACCCCCUAACGACUUUUUUUUAGAAAGAAAGGGACUUUUAUCGACUUCUUCUGGAGUUUAGAGACUCUGACAUGAAGCAGGCUUUCCUUACUGAGGAGUUAGCAACGCUGCUAAGGGUGCAGAGCCACACAUGCGCUCAGAGCUCUGCAUGGGAGACUGAAGCUGACAGAGCUGCAGCAGUUAGCAGGUUUCACCCUCAGAGACCACCAGGGGUUCAUGUUGAGGCAUUUUAAUUUUAUUUUUUUUGUGCCAUAGACACUGUCAGCACAAUCUGCAGUUACACUAACAAAAAUGCUGCAAAAAACAAAGAAUUAUGGAAAAAUUACACAUGGACUGACAUAGAGGAGGAUCUACACAAGUUUUACACAUCAUGUUUUACAUCAUGCAUCAUUUACAUCAUGUUUUUUUGUAGUGGCAUAAAUAAAAAGUGACAUUUGUGAGACUAUACAGUGUUUUGUAAAUAAUUUUACAAAGAACGCCUGGGCCAUUGCCUGCAUUUUGAUGUAAAUAGAGGUAAAUUACUAUGUUCUUUGUUAAAAAUUUGCAUAUGUUUUGAAGUUUACAAUUUUUAUUUGAAGUUUAAGUUUUAAAAACAGUUCAUCACACAUAUUUGUGGUUUAAUUUCACAUUAAUUUCCAUAUUGUAUAAAUGACUGGAAAAAACUUGAGCCCCUGCCCCUGUAUAAUCAUGUGCACGUCCCUGUUCUAGCUCCAAGGUGAAUCUUCACUGCUCAUGUUCUCCUCAGAAAUAGUCACCUCACUCCCCUCAGGUUACUGUACACAUGCACCAACUAUCUGCUUCAGGUUUGAAAUGGAGCUUCAUGGUUGUCUUUUGGAGAAAUGAACAGUCAAGUUGUGUUUGAAAUUUGAUUUUUUUCAGGGGCAAAAGGAAGCCUCUGCAUUCUUGUCAAAUAUGUAAACAGCAUGUUUUUGCAGGUGCUAAAAAACAGACUCUGAGUGUGUGUGUGUGUGUGUGUGUCUGUGUGUGUGUGUGUGUGUGUGUGUGUGUGUGUGUGUAUGUUGGCGUGUGUGUAUAUGUGUGUGUAUCCUGCAGUACUCUGUACUCCUGCAGUGGCCAAAAAGACUUUUAAGAAUGUGGAUUUUUGGGUCAUCUUUGGCGCCCCCUAGAACUGCAGUACUCUGUACUCCUGCAGUGGCCAAAAUGACUUUUAAGAAUGUGGAUUUUUGGGUCAUCUUUGGCGCCCCCUAGAACGUAAACCGUGGGGUGCAGCGUCAUGAUUUUUACAACUUUGAAUGGGCAUGGGGUGUAGAUUGCCCUGAGCAAAUUUGGUAUCGGUGGGACGAAAGCCUUAGGAGGAGAUAGCCACAUUCCAAUGUGUGCGAAUCGGCAAAAAAUGCAAAAUAGCCCUUUAACCGUACAUUAUACAGAUACGCGCUCUUUGACUUUUUCGUAGAUCUAAUUGAGAUACAUAUGAUUGUCAAUUUUUGUGUCAAUAUGACAAAGCGUUCAGGCGUGACACUCAACAAUGUGUAUUUUCAUGUAAGGGGACAAGAAAAAAUUGACUUUUUUCUCCUGCCAUGGGGGGGCGCUCUUUUGGGGAGUAAAAAUUCCUUCACAAAUGUGUGGAUGGCUGGACAUUGCAUCAUCCUAGAAAACUUGGAGGCCAGUGAGGACAAAAUAAAAAGUUAUAAAACAUUUAAGAAUGUGGAUUUUUGGGUUAUUUUUGGCGCCCCCUAGAACCUAAACCGUGGGGUGCAGCGUCAUGAUUUGUACAACUUUUAAUGGCCAUGGGGUGUAGAUUGGCCUGAGCAAAUAUGGUGCCGGUGGAACGAAAGCCUUCGGAGGAGUUAGCGAAAUUCCAAUGUGUGCGGAUCGGCAAAAAAUGUGAAAUAGCCCUUUAACCGUACAUUAUACAGAUAUGCGCUCUUUGACUUUUUCGUAGAUCUUAUUGAGAUACACGUGUGUGUCAAAUUUUGUGUCAAUAUGACAAAGCGUUCAGGCGUGACACUCAACAAUGUGUAUUUUCACCUUAGGGGACAAGAAAAAAUGGACUUUUUUCUCCUGCCAUGGGGGGGCGCUCUUUUGGGGAGUAAAAAUUUCUUCACAAAUGUGUUGAUGGCUGGACAUUGCAUCAUCCUAGAAAACUUGGAGGCCAGUGAGGACAACAAUAAAAAGUUAUAAGACUUUUAAGACUGUGGAUUUUAGGGUUAUCUUUGGCGCCCCCUAGAAUGUAAACCGUGGGGUGCAGAGUCAUGAUUUGUACAACUUUUAAUGGCCAUGGGGUGUAGAUUGUCCUGAGCAAAUUUGUUGCCGGUGGAACGAAAGCCUUCGGAGGAGUUAGCGAAAUUCCAAUGUGUGCUGAUCGGCAAAAAAUGCGAAAUAGCCCUUUAACGGUACAUUUGACAGAUACGCCCACACUGACUUUUUUGUAGAUCUUAUUGAGAUACACAUGUGUGUCAAUUUUUGUGUCAUUUUGACAAAGCGUACAGGCGUCAGGUGAGUUUUCACCAUAGGGGGCGCUAUGGAGCCAUUUUUCAUUUUUUUGUUUGGGCGACUUCAGAAUAUCGAAUUUUUCACCAGGCCCGGUCGUCCUGCCAAAUUUCCUGAGUUUUCGCCAGUGGGAAGUGGGCCAUUUUCCAGUUUAAAGCGGAGGAAAAAUAACGAAAGAAGAAUCCAUCAGGAACAAGAGGGCUCUCGCAGCUGCUUAGCAGCUACGCUCGGGCCCUAAAAAGAAAGAAAGAAACAAAGAACUAGGACCCCGUUGGGGCACUGGCGGGCCCGAGCCGUGUCGCGUCUCCCCCCCCCCCCCCCCCCAACGUGCUGCCUUCCCGUCCCAUUUGUGUCCUCUGGCCAUCGCCCUCUCUGUUAACGCCCAUCACUGCAAAGACCCUUUUCCUUCAUCGGCGUUUGCUGUUCUUCCUGCCAGUGCGUGUUGCUUUCACUUACACUUGCCACAGCCAGCCUCGUGAGUGCCUAGCCUAUUGGAUAUCACUGUCACCUACACAGGACAGUCAUUACCUUUCUAUUAAUACUUUGUGUUUUAAUUUCACAUUAAUUUCCAUAUUGUAUAGACGACUGGAAAAAACUUGAGCCCCUGCCCCUGUAUAAUCAUGUGCAUGUCUCUGUUCUAGCUCCAAGGUGAAUCUUUGCUGCUCAUGUUCUCCUCAGAAGCACUCACCUCACUCCCCUCAGGUUACUGUACACAUGCACCAACUGCCUGCUUCAGGUUUGGAUGGAGCUUCAUGGUUGUCUUUUGGAGAAAUGACCAGUCAAGUUGUGUUUGAAAUUUGAUUUUUUUCAGGGGCAAAAGGAGCCUCUGCAUUCUUGUCAAAUAUGUAAAUAGCAUGUUUUUGCAGGUGCUAAAAACCAGACUCUGAGUGUGUGUGUGUGUGUGUGUGUGUGUGUGUGUGUGUGUGUGUGUGUGCGUGUGUGUGUGUCUAUGUGUGCGUUCAAGUCACAUGACAUAUUUAACCGGAUGUAGCUGCAAGACGGAGCCUCGUUGACUCUCCGUUUCAACUUAUCUCAAAAGUGAGGACCUCAACCUAUAUACCAGUUUUUAAAUUGUGUUGAUAGGCCAAAUAAAACCAGAGUUAUGAUAAAUUAUGUCCGCGAUACUUGUUUUCUGCUUAUUUUGAUCACGUUCGGCGCUUGAUCGCGCUGUAUGAGACAGGAAAACAUAGCAUGCAGACAUUAGCGACAGGUCUUACAGGCGGAAAAGGCUUGCCAAAAGAAAAAAAAAACACACCACAACAUCUCUCCUAUUGGUGGAAAACUUCACCACAACAACCAAUCCAAAAUUAUAUGGUGACUGAUUGACAAGGGGCGGGCGCUUACGUUCUUCCUGCAACAUGAGAAGGGAGGGAGGGACUCUCAGCAGGGAUGCAGUCUGGGACACGUAGUUGCAAACCUAGCGACUUUGUUGUUAGAUUCAAUGACUUUUCAGACCCCCUAACGACUUUUUUUUAGAAAGAAAGUGACUUUUGGCGACUUCUUCUGGAGUUUAGAGACUCUGACAUGAAGCAGGCUUUCCUUACUGAGGAGUUAGCAACGCUGCUAAGGGUGCAAGCCACACAUGCGCUCAGAGCUCUGCAUGGGAGACUGAAGCUGACAGAGCUGCAGCAGUUAGCAGGUUUCACCCUCAGAGACCACCAGGGGUUCAUGUUGAGGCAUUUUAUUAUUUUUUUUUUUUUGUGCCAUAGACACUGUCAGCACAAUCUGCAGUUACACUAACAAAAAUGCUGCAAAAAACAAAGAAUUAUGGAAAAAUUACACAUGGACUGACAUAGAGGAGGAUCUACACAAGUUUUUUACAUCAUGUUUUACAUCAUGCAUCAUUUAUAUCAUGUUUUUUUGUAGUGGCAUAAAUAAAAAGUGACAUUUGUGAGACUAUACAGUGUUUUGUAAAUAAUUUUACAAAGAACGCCUGGGCCAUUGCCUGCAUUUUGAUGUAAAUAGAGGUAAAUUACUAUGUUCUUUGUUAAAAAUUUGCAUAUGUUUUGAAGUUUACAAUUUUUAUUUGAAGUUUAAGUUUUAAAAACAGUUCAUCACACAUAUUUGUGGUUUAAUUUCACAUUAAUUUCCAUAUUGUAUAAAUGACUGGAAAAAACUUGAGCCCCUGCCCCUGUAUAAUCAUGUGCACGUCCCUGUUCUAGCUCCAAGGUGAAUCUUCACUGCUCAUGUUCUCCUCAGAAAUAGUCACCUCACUCCCCUCAGGUUACUGUACACAUGCACCAACUAUCUGCUUCAGGUUUGAAAUGGAGCUUCAUGGUUGUCUUUUGGAGAAAUGAACAGUCAAGUUGUGUUUGAAAUUUGAUUUUUUUCAGGGGCAAAAGGAAGCCUCUGCAUUCUUGUCAAAUAUGUAAACAGCAUGUUUUUGCAGGUGCUAAAAAACAGACUCUGAGUGUGUGUGUGUGUCUGUGUGUGUGUGUGUGUGUGUGUGUGUGUGUGUGUGUGUGUGUGUGUGUGUGUGUGUGUAUGUUGGCGUGUGUGUAUAUGUGUGUGUAUCCUGCAGUACUCUGUACUCCUGCAGUGGCCAAAAAGACUUUUAAGAAUGUGGAUUUUUGGGUCAUCUUUGGCGCCCCCUAGAACUGCAGUACUCUGUACUCCUGCAGUGGCCAAAAUGACUUUUAAGAAUGUGGAUUUUUGGGUCAUCUUUGGCGCCCCCUAGAACGUAAACCGUGGGGUGCAGCGUCAUGAUUUUUACAACUUUGAAUGGGCAUGGGGUGUAGAUUGCCCUGAGCAAAUUUGGUAUCGGUGGGACGAAAGCCUUAGGAGGAGAUAGCCACAUUCCAAUGUGUGCGAAUCGGCAAAAAAUGCAAAAUAGCCCUUUAACCGUACAUUAUACAGAUACGCGCUCUUUGACUUUUUCGUAGAUCUAAUUGAGAUACACAUGAUUGUCAAUUUUUGUGUCAAUAUGACAAAGCGUUCAGGCGUGACACUCAACAAUGUGUAUUUUUAUGUAAGGGGACAAGAAAAAAUUGACUUUUUUCUCCUACCAUGGGGGGGCGCUCUUUUGGGGAGUAAAAAUUCCUUCACAAAUGUGUUGAUGGCUGGACAUUGCAUCAUCCUAGAAAACUUGGAGGCCAGUGAGGACAAAAAUAAAAAGUUAUAAAACAUUUAAGAAUGUGGAUUUUUGGGUUAUUUUUGGCGCCCCCUAGAACCUAAACCAUGGGGUGCAGCAUCAUGAUUUGAAUAACUUUUAAUGGCCAUGGGGUGUAGAUUGGCCUGAGCAAAUGUGGUGCCGGUGGAACGAAAGCCUUCGGAGGAGUUAGCGAAAUUCCAAUGUGUGCGUAUCGGCAAAAAAUGCGGAAUAACCCUUUAACUGUACAUUUGACAGAUACGCGCGCAUGGACUUUUUUGUAGAUCUUAUUGAGUUACAAGUGUGUGUCAAUUUUUGUGUCAUUUUGACAAAGCGUAUAGGCGUGACACUCAACAAUGUGUAUUUUCACCUUAGGGGACAAGAAAAAAUUGACUUUUUUCUCCUGCCAUGGGGGGCGCUCUUUUGGGGAGUAAAAAUUCCUUCACAAAUGUGUUGAUGGCUGGACAUUGCAUCAUCCUAGAAAACUUGGAGGCCAGUGAGGAUAAAAAUAAAAAGUUAUAAGACUUUUAAAUAUGUGGAUUUUAGUGUUAUCUUUGGCGCCCCCUAGAACCUAAACCUUGCGGUGCAGCGUCAUGAUUUUGAUAACUUUUAAUGGCCACGGGGUGUAGAUUGGCCUGAGCAAAUGUGGUGCCGGUGGAACGAAAGCCUUCGGAGGAGUUAGCGAAAUUCCAAUGUGUGCGGAUCGGCAAAAAAUGCGAAAUAACCCUUUAACCGUAAUUUUGACAGAUACGGCCGCACUGACUUUUUUGUAGAUCUUAUUGAGAUACAUAUGUGUGUCAAUUUUUGUGUCAAUAUGACAAAGCGUACAGGCGUGACAGUCAAUAGUGUGAAUUUCCACCUUAGGGGGCGCUAUGGAGCCAUUUUGCAUUUUAUUGUUUGGGCGACUUCAGAAUAUCGAAUUUUUCACCAGGCCCGGUCGUCCUGCCAAAUUUCAUGAGUUUUCGCCAGUGGGAAGUGGGCCAUUUUCCAGUUCAAAGGGGAGGAAAAAGAAGAAAGAAAGAAAGAACUAGGGCCCCGUUGGGGCACUGGCGGGCCCGAGCCGUGUCGCGCCGCCCCCAGCGCGACCGCCUACCCCUCCCGAUCGCGUCACACUCAAGGUCCAAAGAUGGUGUGCGCACUUGUCUGUGGUCAUUUACCAUUAUAAUGAAUGGGAGGCGCAGUUUCUACCAAAACGCUCGCUGCAGACAAACUCCAUGUCCUUUUUGAAAAAAGUCUGGACCAUGAGUGAGGGCACAAACACAGCUAGUAUAUAUCCAAAUGGCAAGUUGCUCCUCCUUUCGGUUUUGCAGAGAGAGCGAUGCGUUUGAGCCAUUGAGCGAUGGGCAGGAAAAACUUGACUUUUUCUCCUGCCAUGGGGGGCGCUCUUUUGGGGAGAAAAAAUUCCUUCACAAAUGUGUUGAUGGCUGGACAUUGCAUCAUCCUAGAAAACUUGGAGGCCAGUGAGGACAAAAAUAAAAAGUUAUAAGACUUUUAAAAAUGUGGAUAUUUGGGUCCUCUUUGGCGCCCCCUAGAACGUAAACUGUGGGGUGCAGCGUCAUGAUUUGUACAACUUUGAAUGGCCAUGGGGUGUAGAUUGACCUGAGCAAAUUUGAAGCCGAUGGGACAAAAGAUUUAGGAGGAGUUAGCCACAUUCCAAUGUGUGCGAAUCAGCAAAAAAUGCGAAAUAGCCCUUUAACCGUACAUUGAACAGAUACGCUCGCAUUGACUUUUUCGUAGAUCUUAUUGAGAUACAUGUGUGUGUCAAAUUUUGUGUCAUUUUGACAAAGCGUAAAGGCGUGACAGUCAACAAUGUGUAUUUUCGCCUUAGGAGACAAGAAAAAAUGGACUUUUUUCUCCUGCCAUGGGGGGCGCUCUUUUGGCGAGUAAAAAUUCCUUCACAAAUGUGUUGAUGGCUGGACAUUGCAUCAUCCUAGAGAACUUGGAGGCCAGUGAGGACAAAAAUAAAAAGUUAUAAGACUUUUAAGACUGUGGAUUUUUGGGUUAUCUUUGGCGCCCCCUAGAACGUAAACCGUGGGGUGCAGCGUCAUGAUUUGUACAACUUUUAAUGGCCAUGGGGUGUAGAUUGGCCUGAGCAAAUGUGGUGCCUUUGGAACGAAAGCCUUCGGAGGAGUUAGCGAAAUUCCAAUGUGUGCGGAUCGGCAAAAAAUGCGAAAUAGCCCUUUAACCGUACAUUUGACAGAUACGCUCGCACUGACUUUUUUGUAGAUCUUAUUGAGAUACAUGUGUGUGUCAAUUUUUGUGUCAAUAUGACAAAGCGUAAAGGCGUGACAGUCAAUAGUGUGAAUUUUCGCCUUAGGAGACAAGAAAAAAUGGACUUUUUUCUCCUGCCAUGGGGGGCGCUCUUUUGGCGAGUAAAAAUUCCUUCACAAAUGUGUUGAUGGCUGGACAUUGCAUCAUCCUAGAGAACUUGGAGGCCAGUGAGGACAAAAAUAAAAAGUUAUAAGACUUUUAAGACUGUGGAUUUUUGGGUUAUCUUUGGCGCCCCCUAGAACGUAAACCGUGGGGUGCAGCGUCAUGAUUUGUACAACUUUUAAUGGCCAUGGGGUGUAGAUUGGCCUGAGCAAAUGUGGUGCCGGUGGAACGAAAGCCUUCGGAGGAGUUAGCGAAAUUCCAAUGUGUGCGGAUCGGCAAAAAAUGCGAAAUAACCCUUUAACCGUACAUUUGACAGAUACGCUCGCACUGACUUUUUUGUAGAUCUUAUUGAGAUACAUGUGUGUGUCAAUUUUUGUGUCAAUAUGACAAAGCGUAAAGGCGUGACAGUCAAUAGUGUGAAUUUUCACCUUAGGGGGCGCUAUGGAGCCAUUUUGCAUUUUAUUGUUUGGGCGACUUCAGAAUAUCGAAUUUUUCACCAGGCCCAUUCGUCCUGCCAAAUUUCAUGAGUUUUCGCCAGUGGGAAGUGGGCCAUUUUCCCCUUCAAAGGGGAGGAAAAAUAAGACUAGGGCCCCGGUGGGGCACUGUCGGGCCCGAGCCGCGUCGCGCCGCCCCCAGCGCGACCGCCUCCCCCUCCCGAUCGCGUCACACUCAAGGUCCAAAGAUGGUGUGCGCACUUGUCUGUGGUCAUUUCCCAUUAUAAUUAAUGGGAGGCGCAGUUUCUACCAAAACGCUUGCUGCAGACAAACUACAUGUCCUAUUUGAAAAAAGUCUGGACCAUGAGUGAGGGCACAAACACAGCUAGUAUAUAUCCAAAUGGCAAGUUGCUCCUCCUUUCGGUUUUGCAGAGAGAGCGAUGCGUUUGAGCCAUUGAGCGAUGGGCAGGAAAAACUUGACUUUUUCUCCUGCCAUGGGGGGGCGCUCUUUUGGGGAGAAAAAAUUCCUUCACAAAUGUGUUGAUGGCUGGACAUUGCAUCAUCCUAGAAAACUUGGAGGCCAGUGAGGACAAAAAUAAAAAGUUAUAAGACUUUUAAAAAUGUGGAUAUUUGGGUCCUCUUUGGCGCCCCCUAGAACGUAAACUGUGGGGUGCAGCGUCAUGAUUUGUACAACUUUGAAUGGCCAUGGGGUGUAGAUUGACCUGAGCAAAUUUGAAGCCGAUGGGACAAAAGAUUUAGGAGGAGUUAGCGAAAUUCCAAUGUGUGCGGAUCGGCAAAAAAUGCGAAAUAACCCUUUAACCGUACAUUUGACAGAUACGCCCGCACUGACUUUUUUGUAGAUCUUAUUGAGAUACAUGUGUGUGUCAAAUUUUGUGUCAUUUUGACAAAGCGUAAAGGCGUGACAGUCAACAAUGUGUAUUUUCGCCUUAGGAGACAAGAAAAAAUGGACUUUUUUCUCCUGCCAUGGGGGGGCGCUCUUUUGGCGAGUAAAAAUUCCUUCACAAAUGUGUUGAUGGCUGGACAUUGCAUCAUCCUAGAGAACUUGGAGGCCAGUGAGGACAAAAAUAAAAAGUUAUAAGACUUUUAAGACUGUGGAUUUUUGGGUUAUCUUUGGCGCCCCCUAGAACGUAAACCGUGGGGUGCAGCAUCAUGAUUUGUACAACUUUUAAUGGCCAUGGGGUGUAGAUUGGCCUCAGCAAAUGUGGUGCCUUUGGAACGAAAGCCUUCGGAGGAGUUAGCGAAAUUCCAAUGUGUGCGGAUCGGCAAAAAAUGCGAAAUAGCCCUUUCACCGUACAUUUGACAGAUACGCCCGCACUGACUUUUUUGUAGAUCUUAUUGAGAUACAUGUGUGUGUCAAUUUUUGUGUCAAUAUGACAAAGCGUAAAGGCGUGACAGUCAAUAGUGUGAAUUUUCGCCUUAGGAGACAAGAAAAAAUUGACUUUUUUCUCCUGCCAUGGGGGGGCGCUCUUUUGGGGAGUAAAAAUUCCUUCACAAAUGUGUUGAUGGCUGGACAUUGCAUCAUCCUAGAAAACUUGGAGGCCAGUGAGGACAAAAAUAAAAAGUUAUACGACUUUUAAGAAUGUGGAUUUCUGGGUUAUCUUUGGCGCCCCCUAGAACGUAAACCGUAGGAUGCAGCGUCAUGAUUUGUACAACUUUUAAUGGCCAUGGGGUGUAGAUUGGCCUGAGCAAAUUUGGUGCCGGUGGAACGAAAGCCUUCGGAGGAGUUAGCGAAAUUCCAAUGUGUGCGGAUCGGCAAAAAAUGCGAAAUAGCCCUUUAACCGUACAUUUGACAGAUACGCCCGCACUGACUUUUUUGUAGAUCUUAUUGAGAUACAUGUGUGUGUCAAUUUUUGUGUCAAUAUGACAAAGCGUACAGGCGUGACACUCAAUCAUGUGAAUUUUUCACCUUAGGGGGCGCUAUGGAGCCAUUUUGCAUUUGAUUUUUUGGGCGACUUCAGAAUAUCGAAUUUUUCACCAGGCCCGGUCGUCCUGCCAAAUUUCAUGAGUUUUCACCAGUGGGAAGUGGGCCAUUUUCCAGUUCAAAGGGGCAGAAAAAUAAUAAGAAGAAGAAGAAGAAAGAAGAAUCCAUCAGGAAUAAUAGGGCUCUCGCAGCUGCUUAGCAGCUACGCUCGGGCCCUAACUAGGACCCCGUUGGGGCACUGGCGGGCCCGAGCCGUGUCGCGUCCCCCCCCCCCCAACGUGCUGCCUUCCCUUCCCAUUUGUGUCCUCUGGCCAUCGCCCUCUCUGGUAACGCCCAUCACUGCAAAGACCCUUUUCCUUCAUCGGCGUUUGCUGUUCUUCCUGCCAGUGCGUGUUGCUUUCACUUACACUUGCCACAGCCAGCCUCUUGAGUGCCUAGCCUAUUGGAUAUCACUGUCACCUACACAGGACAGUCAUUACCUUUCUAUUAAUACUUUGUUUUUUAAUUUCACAUUAAUUUCCAUAUUGUAUAAACAACUGGAAAAAACUUGAGCCCCUGCCCCUGUAUAAUCAUGUGCACGUCUCUGUUCUAGCUCUAAGGUGAAUCUUCACUGCUCAUGUUCUCCUCAGAAGCAGUCACCUCACUCCCCUCAGGUUACUGUACACAUGCACCAACUGCCUGCUUCAGGUUUGGAUGGAGCUUCAUGGUUUUUUUUGGAGAAAUGACCAGUCAAGUUGUGUUUGAAAUUAGAUUUUUUUCAGGGGCAAAAGGAGCCUCUGCAUUCUUGUCAAAUAUGUAAAUAGCAUGUUUUUGCAGGUGCUAAAAACCAGACUCUGAGUGUGUGUGUGUGCGUGUGUGUGUGUGUCUGUGUGUGUGUGUGUGUGUGCGUUCAAGUCACAUGACAUAUUUAACCGGAUGUAGCUGCAAGACGGAGCCUCGUUGACUCUCCGUUUCAAUUUAUCUCAAAAGUGAGGACCUCAACCUAUAUACCAGUUUUUAAAUUGUGUUGAUAGGCCAAAUAAAACCAGAGUUAUGAUAAAUUAUGUCCGCGAUACUUGUUUUCUGCUUAUUUUGAUCACGUUCGGCGCUCGAUCGCGCUGUAUGAGACAGGAAAACAUAGCAUGCAGACAUUAGCGACAGGUCUUACAGGCGGAAAAGGCUUGCCAAAGGAAAAAAAAUACACACCACAACAUCUCUCCUAUUGGUGGAAAACUUCACCACAACAACCAAUCCAAAAUUAUAUGGUGACUGAUUGACAAGGGGCGGGAACUUACGUUCUUCCUGCAAUAUGAGAAGGGAGGGAGGGACUCUCAGCAGGGAUGCAGUCUGGGACACGUAGUUGCAAACCUAGCGACUUUGUUGUUAGAUUCAAUGACUUUUCAGACCCCCUAACGACUUUUUUUUAGAAAGAAAGUGACUUUUAUCGACUUCUUCUGGAGUUUAGAGACUCUGACAUGAAGCAGGCUUUCCUUACUGAGGAGUUAGCAACGCUGCUAAGGGUGCAGAGCCACACAUGCGCUCCGAGCUCUGCAUGGGAGACUGAAGCUGACAGAGCUGCAGCAGUUAGCAGGUUUCACCCUCAGAGACCACCAGGGGUUCAUGUUGAGGCAUUUUCAGUUUUUUUUUUUUUUUUUUGCCAUAGACACUGUCAGCACAAUCUGCAGUUACACUAACAAAAAUGCUGCAAAAAACAAAGAAUUAUGGAAAAAUUACACAUGGACUAACAUAGAGGAGGAUCUACACAAGUUUUUUACAUCAUGUUUUACAUCAUGCAUCAUUUACAUCAUGUUUUUUUGUAGUGGCAUAAAUAAAAAGUGACAUUUGUGAGACUAUACAGUGUUUUGUAAAUAAUUUUACAAAGAACACCUGGGCCAUUGCCUGCAUUUUGAUGUAAAUAGAGGUAAAUUACUAUGUUCUUUGUUAAAAAUUUGCAUAUGUUUUGAAGUUUACAAUUUUUAUUUGAAGUUUAAGUUUUAAAAACAGUUCAUCACACAUAUUUGUGGUUUUCACAGUAAAAACGUUACUUUUUUCCACUCGGAUUUUAUGUUUUGUGUGUGAAUUUGGGUCCAAUGUGUAAAUAUAGUAUGUCAAAAUGAUAAAAUAACUGUAAAUUGACACAGGUGAGGUUGUGCUGAAAAAAAUGAUACCAGGCAAGGCAAGGUAAAAAUUUUGUAAGAGGAAAUAUAAAGGUAAAAUCUAAAGUAGUCAAAAACGGCCAAUAGUGACUCACAGACUCCACAGACAAGUCCCUUUGGCGCCACUCAGUGGGCAAAACUACUUUGUCUACUGUAAUGUAUAUUUGGGUCAUCUUUGGCGCCCCCUAAAACGUAAACCGUGGGGUGCAGCGUCAUGAUUUUUACAACUUUGAAUGGCCAUGGAGUGUAGAUUGGCCUGAGCAAAUUUGGUGUCAGUGGGACGAAAGCCUUAGGAGGAGUUAGCGAAAUUCCAAUGUGUGCGAAUCAGCAAAAAAUGCAAAAUAGCCCUUUUACCGUACAUUAUACAGAUACGCGCUCUUUGACUUUUUCGUAGAUCUAAUUGAGAUACACAUGAUUGUCAAUUUUUGUGUCAUUUUGCCAAAGCGUACAGGCGUGACAGUCAACAAUGUGUAUUUUCACCUUAGGGGACAAGAAAAAAUGGACUUUUUUCUCCUGCCAUGGGGGGGCGCUCUUUUGGGGAGUAAAAAUUCCUUCACAAAUGUGUUGAUGGCUGGACAUUGCAUCAUCCUAGAAAACUUGGAGGCCAGUGAGGACAAAAAUAAAAAGUUAUAAGACUUUUAAAAAUGUGGAUUUUUGGGUUAUCUUUGGCGCCCCCUAGAACCUAAACCGUGGGGUGCAGCGUCAUGAUUUGAAUAACUUUUAAUGGCCAUGGGGUGUAGAUUGGCCUGAGCAAAUGUGGUGCCGGUGGAACGAAAGCCUUCGGAGGAGUUAGCGAAAUUCCAAUGUGUGCGGAUCGGCAAAAAAUGCGAAAUAACCCUUUAACCGUACAUUUGACAGAUACGCCCGCACUGACUUUUUUGUAGAUCUUAUUGAGAUACAUGUGUGUGUCAAUUUUUGUGUCAUUUUGACAAAGCGUACAGGCGUGACAGUCAAUAGUGUGAAUUUUCACCUUAGGGGGCGCUAUGGAGCCAUUUUGCAUUUUCUUGUUUGGGCGACUUCGGAAUAUCAAAUUUUUCACCAGGCCCGGUCGUCCUGCCAAAUUUCAUGAGUUUUCGCCAGUGGGAAGUGGGCCAUUUUCCAGUUCAAAGGGGAGGAAAAAUAAUAACUAGGGCCCCGGUGGGGCACUGUCGGGCCCGAGCCACGUUGCGCCGCCCCCAGCGCGACCGCCUCCCCCUCCCGAUCGCGUCACACUAAAGGUCCAAAGAUGGUGUGCGCACUUGUCUGUGGUCAUUUCCCAUUAUAAUGAAUGGGAGGCGCAGUUUCUACCAAAACACUCGCUGCAGACAAACUACAUGUCCUAUUUGAAAAAAGUCUGGACCAUGAGUGAGGGCACAAACACAGCUAGGAUAUAUCCAAAUGGCAAGUUGCUCCUCGUUACGGUGUUGCUGGGAGAGUGAUGCGAUUGAGCCAUUGAGUGAUGGGCAGGAAAAACUUGACUGUUUCUCCUGCCAUGGGGGUUGGGGGUUGGGGGUUGGGGGUUGGGGGAUGGGGGGGGGGGAUGCGGAUUCUUUUAAGAAUGUGGAUAUUUUGGUCAUCUUUGGCGCCCCCUAGAACGUAAACCGUGGGGUGCAGCGUCAUGAUUUUUACAACUUUGAAUGGCCAUGGGGUGUAGAUUGGCCUGAGCAAAUUUGGUGUCAGUGGGACGAAAGCCUUAGGAGGAGUUAGCCACAUUCCAAUGUGUGCGAAUCGGCAAAAAAUGCAAAAUAGCCCUUUAACCGUACAUUUUACAGAUACGCGCCCAUUGACUUUUUCGUAGAUCUUAUUGAGAUACAUGUGAUUGUCAAAUUUUGUGUCAAUAUGACAAAGCGUACAGGUAUGACAGUCAACAAUGUGUUUUUUCACCUUAUGGGACAAGAAAAAAUGGACUUUUUUCUCCUGCCAUGGGGGGGGCGCUCUUUUGGGGAGUAAAAAUUCCUUCACAAAUGUGUUGAUGGCUGGACAUUGCAUCAUCCUAGAAAACUUGGAGGCCAGUGAGGACAAAAAUAAAAAGUUAUAAGACUUUGAAAUAUGUGGAUUUUAGGGUUAUCUUUGGCGCCCCCUAGAACCUAAACCGUGGGGUGCAGCGUCAUGAUUUGAAUAACUUUUAAUGGCCAUGGGGUGUAGAUUGGCCUGAGCAAAUGUGGUGCCGGUGGAAAGCCAGCCUUAGGAGGAGUUAGCGAAAUUCCAAUGUGUGCGAAUCGGCAAAAAAUGCGGAAUAACCCAUUAACCGUACAUUUGACAGAUACGCCCGCACUGACUUUUUUGUAGAUCUUAUUGAGAUACAUAUGUGUGUCAAUUUUUGUGUCAUUUUGACAAAGCGUAAAGGCGUGACAGUCAAUAGUGUGAAUUUCCACCUUAGGGGGCGCUAUGGAGCCAUUUUGCAUUUUCUUGUUUGGGCGACUUCGGAAUAUCAAAUUUUUCACCAGGCCCGGUCAUCCUGCCAAAUUUCAUGAGUUUUCGCCAGUGGGAAGUGGGCCAUUUUCCAGUUCAAAGGGGAGGAAAAAGAACACUUGCCACAGCCAGCCUCGUGAGUGCCUAGCCUAUUGGAUAUCACUGUCACCUACACAGGACAGUCAUACUUUGUUUUGUAAUUAGGGCCCGAGCCAGCUGCAGAGCAGCCGGGCGUAGGCCCUAUUAUUCCCCAAGUGGUUUUUCUUUGUUUCUUUCUUUCUUUCUUUCUUUCUUUCUUUCUUCUUUUUCCUCCCCUUUGAACUGGAAAAUGGCCCACUUCCCACUGGCGAAAACUCAUGAAAUUUGGCAGGAUGACCGGGCCUGGUGAAAAAUUCGAUAUUCUGAAGUCGCCCAAACAAUAAAAUGCAAAAUGGCUCCAUAGCGCCCCCUAAGGUGGAAAUUCACACUAUUGACUGUCACGCCUGUACGCUUUGUCAUAUUGACACAAAAAUUGACACACAUAUGUAUCUCAAUAAGAUCUACAAAAAAGUCAGUGCGGCCGUAUCUGUCAAAAUUACGGUUAAAGGGUUAUUUCGCAUUUUUUGCCGAUCCGCACACAUUGGAAUUUCGCUAACUCCUCCGAAGGCUUUCGUUCCACCGGCACCACAUUUGCUCAGGCCAAUCUACACCCCGUGGCCAUUAAAAGUUAUCAAAAUCAUGACGCUGCACCCCAAGGUUUAGGUUCUAGGGGGCGCCAAAGAUAACACUAAAAUCCACAUAUUUAAAAGUCUUAUAACUUUUUAUUUUUGUCCUCACUGGCCUCCAAGUUUUCUAGGAUGAUGCAAUGUCCAGCCAUCAACACAUUUGUGAAGGAAUUUUUACUCCCCAAAAGAGCGCCCCCCAUGGCAGGAGAAAAAAGUCCAUUUUUUCUUGUCCCCUAAGGUGAAAAUACACAUUGUUGAGUGUCACGCCUAUACGCUUUGUCAAAAUGACACAAAAAUUGACACACACAUGUAACUCAAUAAGAUCUACGAAAAAGUCAAUGCGCGCGUAUCUGUCAAAUGUACGGUUAAAGGGUUAUUCCUUAUUUUUUGCCGAUCCGCACACAUUGGAAUGUGGCUAACUCCUCCUAAGGCUUUCGUUCCACCGGCACCACAUUUGCUCAGGCCAAUCUACACCCCAUGGCCAUUAAAAGUUAUUCAAAUCAUGACGCUGCACCCCACGGUUUAGGUUCUAGGGGGCGCCAAAGAUAACCCUAAAAUCCACAUAUUUAAAAGUCUUAUAACUUUUUAUUUUUGUCCUCACUGGCCUCCAAGUUUUCUAGGAUGAUGCAAUGUCCAGCCAUCAACACAUUUGUGAAGGAAUUUUUACUCCCCAAAAGAGCGCCCCCCCCCCCAUGGCAGGAGAAAAAAGUCCAUUUUUUCUUGUCCCCUAAGGUGAAAAUACAUAUUGUUGAGAUUCACGCCUAUACGCUUUGUCAUAUUGACACAAAAUUUGACAAUCACGUGCCUUGCCUGGUAUCAUUUUUUUCAGCACAACCUCACCUGUGCGAAUUUACAGUUAUUUUAUCAUGUUGACAUACUGAAUUUACACAAUGGACCCAAAUUCACACACAAAACAUAAAAUCCGAGUGGAAAAAAGUAACAUUUUUACUGUGAAAACCACAAAUAUGUGUGAUGAACUGUUUUUAAAACUUGAACUUCAAAUAAAAAUUGUAAACUUCAAAACAUAUGCAAAUUUUAAACAAAGAACAUAGUGAUUUACCUCUAUUUACAUCAAAAUGCAGGCAAUGGCCCAGGCGUUCUUUGUAAAAUUAUUUACAAAACACUGUAUAGUCUCACAAAUGUCACUUUUUAUUUAUGCCACUACAAAAAAACAUGAUGUAAAUGAUGCAUGAUGUAAAACAUGAUGUAAAAAACUUGUGUAGAUCCUCCUCUAUGUCAGUCCAUGUGUAAUUUUUCCAUAAUUCUUUGUUUUUUGCAGCAUUUUUGUUAGUGUAACUGCAGAUUGUGCUGACAGUGUCUAUGGCACAAAAAAAAAAGAAAUUAAAAUGCCUCAACAUGAACCCUUGGUGGUCUCUGAGGGUGAAACCUGCUAACUGCUGCAGCUCUGUCAGCUUCAGUCUCCCAUGCAGAGCUCUGAGCGCAUGUGUGGCUCUGCACCCUUAGCAGCGUUGCUAACUCCUCAGUAAGGAAAGCCUGCUUCAUGUCAGAGUCUCUAAACUCCAGAAGAAGUCGAUAAAAGUCCCUUUCUUUCUAAAAAAAAGUCGUUAGGGGGUCUGAAAAGUCAUUGAAUCUAACUACAAAGUCGCUAGGUUUGCAACUACGUGUCCCAGACUGCAUCCCUGCUGAGAGUCCCUCCCUCGUUUCUCAUGUUGCAGGAAGAACGUAAGCGCCCGCCCCUUGUCAAUCAGUCACCAUAUAAUUUUGGAUUGGUUGUUGUGGUGAAGUUUUCCACCAAUAGGAGAGAUGUUGUGGUGUGUUUUUUUUUUCUUUUGGCAAGCCUUUUCCGCCUGUAAGACCUGUCGCUAAUGUCUGCAUGCUAUGUUUUCCUGUCUCAUACAGCGCGAUCGAGCGCCGAACGUGAUCAAAAUAAGCAGAAAAAAAGUAUCGCGGACAUAAUUUAUCAUAACUCUGGUUUUAUUUGGCCUAUCAACACAAUUUAAAAACUGGUAUAUAGGUUGAGGUCCUCACUUUUGAGAUAAGUUGAAACGGAGAGUCAACGAGGCUCCGUCUUGCAGCUACAUCCGGUUAAAUAUGUCAUGUGACUUGAACGCACACACAGACACACACACACGCACACACACACACACACACACACACACACACACACACACACACACACACACACUCAGAGUCUGGUUUUUAGCACCUGCAAAAACAUGCUAUUUACAUAUUUGACAAGAAUGCAGAGGCUCCUUUUGCCCCUGAAAAAAAUCAAAUUUCAAACACAACUUGACUGCUCAUUUCUCCAAAAGACAACCAUGAAGCUCCAUCCAAACCUGAAGCAGGCAGUUGGUGCAUGUGUACAGUAACCUGAGGGGAGUGAGGUGAGUGCUUCUGAGGAGAACAUGAGCAGUGAAGAUUCACCUUGGAGCUAGAACAGAGACAUGCACAUGAUUAUACAGGGGCAGGGGCUCAAGUUUUUUCCAGUCGUUUAUACAAUAUGGAAAUUAAUGUGAAAUUAAAACACAAAGUAUUAAUAGAAAGGUAAUGACUGUCCUGUGUAGGUGACAGUGAUAUCCAAUAGGCUAGGCACUCACGAGGCUGGCUGUGGCAAGUGUAAGUGAAAGCAACACGCACUGGCAGGAAGAACAGCAAACGCCGAUGAAGGAAAAGGGUCUUUGCAGUGAUGGGCGUUACCAGAGAGGACGAUGGCCAGAGGACACAAAUGGGACAGGAAGGCAGCACGUUGGGGGGGGGGGGACGCGACACGGCUCGGGCCCGCCAGUGCCCCAACGGGGUCCUAGUUUCACAUUAAUUUCCAUAUUGUAUAAACGACUGGAAAAAACUUGAGCCCCUGCCCCUGUAUAAUCAUGUGCACGUCCCUGUUCUAGCUCCAAGGUGAAUCUUCACUGCUCAUGUUCUCCUCAGAAGCAGUCACCUCACUCCCCUCAGGUUACUGUACACAUGCACCAACUGCCUGCUUCAGGUUUGGAUGGAGCUUCAUGGUUGUCUUUUGGAGAAAUGAGCAGUCAAGUUGUGUUUGAAAUUUGAUUUUUUUCAGGGGCAAAAGGAAGCCUCUGCAUUCUUGUCAAAUAUGUAUAUAGCAUGUUUUUGCAGGUGCUAAAAAACAGACUCUGAGUGUGUGUGUGUGUGUGUGUGUGUGUGUGUGUGUGCGUGUGUGUGUGUGUGUCUGUGUGUGUGUGUGUGUGUGUGUGUGUAUCCUGCAGUACUCUGAGAAGAAUAAUCAGCAUAUUUCUGAGGUGAAUUUUGAAGAUUCAUCUGAGAGUUAGGUUUGAUUCGAUUCGAUUGACGCUCCCCAGCGUUCAAGUCACAUGACAUAUUUAACCGGAUGUAGCUGCAAGACGGAGCCUCGUUAACUCUUCGUUUCAACUUAUCUCAAAAGUGAGCACCUCAACCUAUAUACCAGUUUUUAAAUUGUGUUGAUAGGCCAAAUAAAACCAGAGUUAUGAUAAAUUAUGUCCGCGAUACUUUUUUUCUGCUUAUUUUGAUCACGUUCGGCGCUCGAUCGCGCUGUAUGAGACAGGAAAACAUAGCAUGCACACAUUAGCGACAGGUCUUACAGGCGGAAAAGGCUUGCCAAAAGAAAAAAAAACACACACUACAACAUCUCUCCUAUUGGUGGAAAACUUCACCACAACAACCAAUCCAAAAUUAUAUGGUGACUGAUUGACAAGGGGCGGGCGCUUACGUUCUUCCUGCAACAUGAGAAGGGAGGGAGGGACUCUCAGCAGGGAUGCAGUCUGGGACACGUAGUUACAAACCUAGCGACUUUGUUGUUAGAUUCAAUGACUUUUCAGACCCCCUAACGACUUUUUUUUAGAAAGAAAGGGACUUUUAUCGACUUCUUCUGGAGUUUAGAGACUCUGACAUGAAGCAGGCUUUCCUUACUGAGGAGUUAGCAACACUGCUAAGGGUGCAGAGCCACACAUGUGCUCAGAGCUCUGCAUGGGAGACUGAAGCUGACAGAGCUGCAGCAGUUAGCAGGUUUCACCCUCAGAGACCACCAGGGGUUCAUGUUGAGGCAUUUUAAAUUUUUUUUUUUUUUUUUGUGCCAUAGACACUGUCAGCACAAUCUGCAGUUACACUAACAAAAAUGCUGCAAAAAACAAAGAAUUAUGGAAAAAUUACACAUGGACUGACAUAGAGGAGGAUCUACACAAG